rnacentral:rRNA from 1 species
UACGUAGGGCGCAAGCGUUGUCCGGAAUUAUUGGGCGUAAAGGGCGCGUAGGCGGCUUGGCAAGUGGAUGGUGAAAUCCCUCGGCUUAACCGAGGAACUGCCGUCCAAACUGCUUCGCUUGAGACCGGGAGAGGUGAGUGGAAUUCCCAGUGUAGCGGUGAAAUGCGUAGAUAUUGGGAGGAACACCAGUGGCGAAGGCGGCUCACUGGACCGGUACUGACGCUGAUGCGCGAAAGCGUGGGGAGCAAACGGG